UGGGGAAUAUUGCACAAUGGGCGCAAGCCUGAUGCAGCAACGCCGCGUGAGGGACGACGGCCUUCGGGUUGUAAACCUCUUUUGGCAGGGGAGAAGCGAAAGUGACGGUACCUGCAGAAAAAGCACCGGCUAACUACGUGCCAGCAGCCGCGGUGAUACGUAGGGUGCAAGCGUUGUCCGGAAUUAUUGGGCGUAAAGAGCUCGUAGGCGGUUUGUCGCGUCUGCUGUGAAAACCCGAGGCUCAACCUCGGGCCUGCAGUGGGUACGGGCAAACUAGAGUGCGGUAGGGGAGAUUGGAUUUCCUGGUGUAGCGGUGGAAUGCGCAGAUAUCAGGAGGAACACCGAUGGCGAAGGCAGAUCUCUGGGCCGUAACUGACGCUGAGGAGCGAAAGCAUGGGGAGCGAACA
rnacentral:rRNA from 1 species